rnacentral:rRNA from 1 species
GAUGAACGCUGGCGGCGUGCCUAAUACAUGCAAGUCGAGCGAACGGACGAGAGGCUUGCUUCUCUGAUGUUAGCGGCGGACGGGUGAGUAACACGUGGAUAACCUACCUAUAAGACUGGGAUAACUUCGGGAAACCGGAGCUAAUACCGGAUAAUAUUUUGAACCGCAUGGUUCAAAAGUGAAAGACGGUCUUGCUGUCACUUAUAGAUGGAUCCGCGCUGCAUUAGCUAGUUGGUAAGGUAACGGCUUACCAAGGCAACGGUGCAUAGCCGACCUGAGAGGGUGAUCGGCCACACUGGAACUGAGACACGGUCCAGACUCCUACGGGAGGCAGCAGUAGGGAAUCUUCCGCAAUGGGCGAAAGCCUGACGGAGCAACGCCGCGUGAGUGAUGAAGGUCUUCGGAUCGUAAAACUCUGUUAUUAGGGAAGAACAUAUGUGUAAGUAACUGUGCACAUCUUGACGGUACCUAAUCAGAAAGCCACGGCUAACUACGUG